UACGGGGGGGGUAAGCGUUGUUCGGAAUUACUGGGCGUAAAGGGCUCGUAGGCGGCCAACUAAGUCGGACGUGAAAUCCCUCAGCUUAACUGGGGAACUGCGUCCGAUACUGGAUGGCUUGGAUUUGGGAGAGGGAUGCGGAAUUCCAGGUGUAGCGGUGAAAUGCGUAGAUAUCUGGAGGAACACCGGUGGCGAAGGCGGCAUCCUGGACCAACAUUGACGCUGAGGAGCGAAAGCUAGGGGAGCAAACGGG
rnacentral:rRNA from 1 species